rnacentral:rRNA from 1 species
GAUGAACGCUAGCGGCAGGCUUAAUACAUGCAAGUCGAGGGGCAGCAUGAUUGUAGCAAUACAAUUGAUGGCGACCGGCAAACGGGUGCGGAACACGUACACAACCUUCCAACAAGUGGGGGAUAGCCCAGAGAAAGUUGGAGUAAUACCCCGUAACAUAGCGAUGUGGCAUCACAUUGCCAUUAUAGAUUUUUCGCUUGUUGAUGGGUGUGCGGCUGAUUAGAUAGUUGGCGGGGUUAAGGCCCACCAAGUCUACGAUCAGUAGCUGGUGUGAGGGAAUGAUCGGCCACAGGGGAACUGAGACACGGGCCCGACUCCGACGGGAGGCAGCAGUAAGGAAUAUUGGACAAUGGACGCAAGUCUGAUCCAGCCAUGCCGCGUGAAGGAUUAAGGUCCUCUGGAUUGUAAACUUCUUUUAUAAGGGACGAAAAAAGGCUUUUCUAAGUCGUCUGACGGUACCUUAUGAAUAAGCACCGGCUAACUCCGUGCCAGCAGCCGCAGUAACAC